rnacentral:rRNA from 1 species
GAGUUUGAUCAUGGCUCAGGACGAACGCUGGCGGCGUGCCUAAUACAUGCAAGUAGAACGCUGAAGAGAGGAGCUUGCUCUUCUUGGAUGAGUUGCGAACGGGUGAGUAACGCGUAGGUAACCUGCCUUGUAGCGGGGGAUAACUAUUGGAAACGAUAACUAAUACCGCAUAACAAUAGGUGACACAUGUCAUUUAUUUGAAAGGGGCAAUUGCUCCACUACAAGAUGGACCUGCGUUGUAUUAGCUAGUAGGUGAGGUAACGGCUCACCUAGGCGACGAUACAUAGCCGACCUGAGAGGGUGAUCGGCCACACUGGGGCUGAGACACGGCCCAGACUCCUACGGGAGGCAGCAGUAGGGAAUCUUCGGCAAUGGGGGCAACCCUGACCGAGCAACGCCGCGUAAGUGAAGAAGGUUUUCGGAUCGUAAAGCUCUGUUGUAAGUCAAGAACGAGUGUGAGAGUGGAAAGUUCACACUGUGACGGUAGCUUACCAGAAAGGGACGGCUAACUACGUGCCAGCAGCCGCGGUAAUACGUAGGUCCCGAGCGUUGUCCGGAUUUAUUGGGCGUAAAGCGAGCGCAGGCGGUUUGAUAAGUCUGAAGUUAAAGGCUGUGGCUCAACCAUAGUUCGCUUUGGAAACUGUCAAACUUGAGUGCAGAAGGGGAGAGUGGAAUUCCAUGUGUAGCGGUGAAAUGCGUAGAUAUAUGGAGGAACACCGGUGGCGAAAGCGGCUCUCUGGUCUGUAACUGACGCUGAGGCUCGAAAGCGUGGGGAGCGAACAGGAUUAGAUACCCUGGUAGUCCACGCCGUAAACGAUGAGUGCUAGGUGUUGGAUCCUUUCCGGGAUUCAGUGCCGCAGCUAACGCAUUAAGCACUCCGCCUGGGGAGUACGACCGCAAGGUUGAAACUCAAAGGAAUUGACGGGGGCCCGCACAAGCGGUGGAGCAUGUGGUUUAAUUCGAAGCAACGCGAAGAACCUUACCAGGUCUUGACAUCCCGAUGCUAUUUCUAGAGAUAGAAAGUUACUUCGGUACAUCGGUGACAGGUGGUGCAUGGUUGUCGUCAGCUCGUGUCGUGAGAUGUUGGGUUAAGUCCCGCAACGAGCGCAACCCCUAUUGUUAGUUGCCAUCAUUCAGUUGGGCACUCUAGCGAGACUGCCGGUAAUAAACCGGAGGAAGGUGGGGAUGACGUCAAAUCAUCAUGCCCCUUAUGACCUGGGCUACACACGUGCUACAAUGGUUGGUACAACGAGUUGCGAGUCGGUGACGGCAAGCUAAUCUCUUAAAGCCAAUCUCAGUUCGGAUUGUAGGCUGCAACUCGCCUACAUGAAGUCGGAAUCGCUAGUAAUCGCGGAUCAGCACGCCGCGGUGAAUACGUUCCCGGGCCUUGUACACACCGCCCGUC